rnacentral:rRNA from 1 species
CCUACGGGUGGCAGCAGUGGGGAAUAUUGCGCAAUGGGGGCAACCCUGACGCAGCAACGCCGCGUGAUUGAAGAAGGCCUUCGGGUUGUAAAGAUCUUUAAUCGGGGACGAAUUUAGUCGGUAUACGAAGAAUAAGCUCCCGCUAACUAUGGGCAAGAACCCGCGGUAAUACGUAGGGAGCAAGAGUUAUCCGGGUUUACUGGGGGUAAAGGGGGUGUAGGCGGGAAUGCAAGCCAGAAGUGAAAGCUGGGGGCUUAACCCCCAAACUGCUUUUGGAACUACGUGGCUUGAGUGAUGGAGAGGCAGGCGGAAUGCCCAGUGUAGCGGUGAAAUGCGUAGAUAUUGGGAGGAACACCAGUGGCGAAGGCGGCCUGCUGGACAUUAACUGACGCUGAGGCGCGAAAGCGUGGGGAGCAAACAGGAUUGGAUACCCGUGUAGUC